GACGAACCGUGCGAACGUUAUUCGGAAUCACUGGGCUUAAAGCGCGUGUAGGCGGGACGGCACGUCUGUCGCUGAGAUCCCCCGGCUUAACCGGGGAACUGGCGGAGAUACGACCGUCCUGGAGGGGCGUAGGGGGGACCUGGAACUUCCGGUGGAGCGGUGAAAUGCGUUGAGAUCGGAAGGAACGCCCGUGGCGAAAGCGAGGUCCUGGACGCCUACUGACGCUGAGACGCGAAAGCCAGGGGAGCGAACAGG
rnacentral:rRNA from 1 species